AUCCAACUAACGAGUUCCAAAUAGAACGAAAGGCGCGUCCCGGAU
rnacentral:hammerhead_ribozyme from 1 species